UACAGAGGUCUCAAGCGUUGUUCGGAUUCAUUGGGCGUAAAGGGUGCGUAGGCGGCGUGGCAAGUCCGAUGUGAAAUACCGGGGCUCAACCCCGGAACUGCAUUGGAUACUGCAUUGCUAGAGUACUGGAGAGGGAACUGGAAUUUACGGUGUAGCAGUGAAAUGCGUAGAGAUCGUAAGGAAGACCAGUGGCGAAGGCGAGUUCCUGGACAGUUACUGACGCUGAGGCACGAAGGCCAGGGGAGCAAACGGG
rnacentral:rRNA from 1 species